rnacentral:rRNA from 1 species
CGGACGGGUGAGUAACACGUGGAUAACCUACCUAUAAGACUGGGAUAACUUCGGGAAACCGGAGCUAAUACCGGAUAAUAUAUUGAACCGCAUGGUUCAAUAGUGAAAGACGGUUUUGCUGUCACUUAUAGAUGGAUCCGCGCCGCAUUAGCUAGUUGGUAAGGUAACGGCUUACCAAGGCAACGAUGCGUAGCCGACCUGAGAGGGUGAUCGGCCACACUGGAACUUAGACACGGUCCAG